rnacentral:lncRNA from 1 species
UGGUCCUGAUAGAUCAGCUGUUGAAGGUGAUCUUGCAUCGACCUGAUACAUCGGGUCGAAUGGUAAAGUGGGCCGAAAGCUUGAUGAAUUCGAUAUACAAUAUCGCCCACGAUCAUCCAUGAAAGUGCAAGUUCUAGCCGACUUCAUCGCAGAAUGUACAAUAUUCGAUAAUAAGCCAAAAGAUACAGAUGAUAAUGCAAUAAAGCAGG